rnacentral:rRNA from 1 species
CCUACGGGUGGCUGCAGUGGGGAAUUUUGGACAAUGGGGGCAACCCUGAUCCAGCCAUUCCGCGUGAGUGAAGAAGGCCUUCGGGUUGUAAAGCUCUUUCGGCCGGGAAGAAAUCGCAUCUCCUAAUACGGGGUGUGGAUGACGGUACCGGAAGAAGAAGCACCGGCUAACUACGUGCCAGCAGCCGCGGUAAUACGUAGGAUGCGAGCGGCAAUCGGCGUUACCAGGCGUAUAACUAAGACAGAUGUCUAAUCCCCGGGCUUAACCUGGGAACUGCGUUUGUGACUGGUGGGCUUGAGUGCGGCAGAGGGGGGUGGAAUUCCACGUGUAGCAGUGAAAUGCGUAGAGAUGUGGAGGAACACCGAUGGCGAAGGCAGCCCCCUGGGUCGACACUGACGCUCAUGCACGAAAGCGUGGGGAGCAAACAGGAUUAGAUACCCCAGUAGUC